GAUGAACGCUGGCGGCGUGCCUAAUACAUGCAAGUCGAGCGAACAGAUAAGGAGCUUGCUCCUUUGACGUUAGCGGCGGACGGGUGAGUACCACGUGGGUAACCUACCUAUAAGACUGGAAUAACUCCGGGAAACCGGGUCUAAUGCCGGAUAACAUUUAGAAACGCAUGGUUCUAAAGUGAAAGAUGGUUUUGCUAUCACUUAUAGAUGGACCCGCGCCGUAUUAGCUAGUUGGUAAGGUAACGGCUUACCAAGGCAACGAUACGUAGCCGACCUGAGAGGAUGAUCGGCCACACUGGAACUGAGACACGGUCCAGACUCCUACGGGAGGCAGCAGUAGGGAAUCUUCCGCAAUGGGCGAAAGCCUGACGGAGCAACGCCGCGUGAGUGAUGAAGGUCUUCGGAUCGUAAAACUCUGUUAUUAGGGAAGAACAAAUGUGUAAGUAACUGUUCACGUCUUGACGGUACCAAAUCAGAAAGCCACGGCUAACUACGUG
rnacentral:rRNA from 1 species